rnacentral:rRNA from 1 species
UACGAAGGGGGCUAGCGUUGCUCGGAAUCACUGGGCGUAAAGCGUGCGUAGGUGGCGCGUUAAGUGAGAUGUUAAAUCGUGUGGCUCAACCAUAUCGAUGCAUCUCAUACUGGCGUGCUAGAGGGAAGCAGAGGCAAGUGGAAUUUGUAGUGUAGCAGUGAAAUGCGUAGAUAUUACAAGGAACACCAAUGGCGAAGGCAGCUUGCUGGGCUUCUUCUGACACUGAGGUACGAAAGCGUGGGGAGCGAACAGG